ACGGGUGAGUAACACGUGAGUAACCUGCCCUUGACUCUGGGAUAAGCGUUGGAAACGACGUCUAAUACCGGAUACGAGCUUCCACCGCAUGGUGAGUUGCUGGAAAGAAUUUUGGUCAAGGAUGGACUCGCGGCCUAUCAGCUUGUUGGUGAGGUAACGGCUCACCAAGGCGACGACGGGUAGCCGGCCUGAGAGGGUGACCGGCCACACUGGGACUGAGACACGGCCCAGACUCCUACGGGAGGCAGCAGUGGGGAAUAUUGCACAAUGGGCGAAAGCCUGAUGCAGCAACGCCGCGUGAGGGACGACGGCCUUCGGGUUGUAAACCUCUUUUAGCAGGGAAGAAGCGAAAGUGACGGUACCUGCAGAAAAAGCACCGGCUAACUACGUGCCAGCAGCCGCGGUAAUACGUAGGGUGCAAGCGUUGUCCGGAAUUAUUGGGCGUAAAGAGCUCGUAGGCGGUUUGUCGCGUCUGCUGUGAAAUCCCGAGGCUCAACCUCGGGUCUGCAGUGGGUACGGGCAGACUAGAGUGCGGUAGGGGAGAUUGGAAUUCCUGGUGUAGCGGUGGAAUGCGCAGAUAUCAUGAGGAACACCGAUGGCGAAGGCAGAUCUCUGGGCCGCUACUGACGCUGAGGAGCGAAAGGGUGGGGAGCAAACAGGCUUAGAUACCCUGGUAGUCCACCCCGUAAACGUUGGGCGCUAGAUGUGGGGACCAUUCCACGGUUUCCGUGUCGUAGCUAACGCAUUAAGCGCCCCGCCUGGGGAGUACGGCCGCAAGGCUAAAACUCAAAGGAAUUGACGGGGGCCCGCACAAGCGGCGGAGCAUGCGGAUUAAUUCGAUGCAACGCGAAGAACCUUACCAAGGCUUGACAUAUACGAGAACGGGCCAGAAAUGGUCAACUCUUUGGACACUCGUAAACAGGUGGUGCAUGGUUGUCGUCAGCUCGUGUCGUGAGAUGUUGGGUUAAGUCCCGCAACGAGCGCAACCCUCGUUCUAUGUUGCCAGCACGUUAUGGUGGGAACUCAUGGGAUACUGCCGGGGUCAACUCGGAGGAAGGUGGGGACGACGUCAAAUCAUCAUGCCCCUUAUGUCUUGGGCUUCACGCAUGCUACAAUGGCCAGUACAAAGGGCUGCAAUACCGUAAGGUGGAGCGAAUCCCAAAAAGCUGGUCCCAGUUCGGAUUGAGGUCUGCAACUCGACCUCAUGAAGUCGGAGUCGCUAGUAAUCGCAGAUCAGCAACGCUGCGGUGAAUACGUUCCC
rnacentral:rRNA from 1 species